UUCCUUCUUCUUCCUCUUUCUACACGUCUCCAUCUCUCUCUUUUUUUCUUUCUAGCUUUUUGUUUAUCUUCUUCUUGGCUCUGAGAUGAGAAUCUGGAUUUAUGUUAAUUAAUUUCUUUCUUAGGGGAUGAAAUUUGUUGUUUAUAGCAUUUAUCCAGAUAUGGAGUGCCUAAAUUCUUGAUAAAGAAGAUGUGGGGAAUUGGAAGAAGAAAGCAUAUCUGGAGAUUGGAAGAUGCUAUUGUCAUAAGGGAAUUUGUUGCAAAUUAUGGGGGUUUUAUUGUAAAUCUGUAAAAUACGUUGAUACUUAUAGUUGUACAAAGAAUGAUUUAACAAAAUUUAUUUGGUUUUGGUAUC